CUAGAUACUAUCUUUUCUAAUAUCAUCAAUCUUCGAAUUAAAUAGUAUUUCCUUCAACCAUAUUUUUACUCUGAGUUUAUGUGGAAGCAGAGAAGAAUUGAAGGUUGCAUUACAAACUGACAUGCAUUUUAACCGUGUUCUGGGGCUUUUGUAGACGUUACUUCUGCCUCUCUUGCUGAAGUUGUUAUAGCUGUUUACAUUCUCAAGCCUCACUCUGUUUUCAGAUCUACAGGUCACAGAGCCAUGGGCAUUUCUCAGAAGGAACUUUACUAGCUGUGAUGAUCAUUUUCAGUUAAAUACUUGGCUAUAUCUGGAACUAAAACCCAAUGGAGGGAGCACCUGUGAGGGAUUUUUUUUCUUCAUUUGAACACAUACUGAAGACCAUCCGAGACAUCCGGCCUCCUGGACCUGAGCAACUACUGAAUCUUGGGACUUCCUGUUCACAGUCAGCCAUUGUUUGACUAGCUGAACCACAGUCUGUAAGCCAUUCUAAUAAAUCUCCUUUCUAUGUAUGGGGAGAAAUUCAUUCUCUAAAGUCAGUUACUCUAGAGUACUCCCACUAAUAAACUAGCAUUCUCACAGAUUCCAUUGUAAGAUUUUUACCUCAGUGUACUUGGAAACAUGUCUCUGAAAUUGACAGUUGGAGGCAUUUGUGUAGUCAUGUAAUCAAGUGCCCCUUCUCAGACACAUUUUGCACCCCAGUUAGAAUAUCAAUACCAGGAUGAUAUUAUAGAGACUUUGUGGUUCAGCUCUUUCUAUUAUUAUUAAGUUAUGCUGACAUUGCUUGGGAUAAAUAGUCAGCCAUGGAUCAUAUAAUCAUGUUUUCCUUCACUGCUCUUUCCAGACAACCAUGAUUAAGUCCCCACUGCUAUGUUCAAACCCAACUAUAGGUCCAUUUUUCCCAUUCCAGAAAGCUAAAUGCUUCCAAUGGAAACCUUUGCUCAAGUAAGAAAAUUGCAGUAAUUAAAGCGAGUUAUGAAAAAAAAUCUUAAGACACUCAUGGCAAGAGGAAGACUUUCUAGGAAUAGUACAUUUGGGCAUUGCACAGAUUGCAGCAUUUAAAGAUGUAAGCACAAUGAAAGCAAAACAGGGUUAUGGUAUGAGGAAAAGGAAAAAGGCGAGUAGAUCUCUAAAAUUUUAAGCCUACUUUUGGUUAAUAUAACUUAUAAUAAUUUCUCAUGAAACUGAAAUCCUACUUGACCUAGUUUCACUUCUGUUACUAUGAUAAAAUAUCUUUAUCAAAGGCAGCUUUGGGGGAAAAAUCAUCAUGUCAAGGAAGUCAAGGCAGAGACUUAAAGCAUCACGGUCAUGAUCAAGACCAGAGAGAGAUGAAUGCACCCUGGCUGCCUAAUUACUUGCUACUAGCUCGCUGUUAACACAUUGAUACAGUUUAGGACUCCUGGCCUAGUUAUUGUGUUACUCAUAAUGGACCUGAUCUCCUACCAUUAAUAAGCAAACAUAUACUCUCACAAGAGAGACCAAAGUUAUCUAAAUAAUUUCUAAUUAUGACUUCCUUCCAGGUAAUUUUAGGUCAUAUCAAAUUUACAUUUAGAACCAACACUCUGCUUAUAAAAAAGCUAAAUUAAUGAUAAUAAUUUAAGUAUGCACAUCUAGGAAAAUUUCCAUCACUCCUAUGAUUUUGCUAUUUAAAAAAAUGACUCUAAAUUAAACAUAUAACCCAUUUACAUACAAUUGUCUCCUUGCAUAGCAAUGCCAAAUUACUGAUUAAAAUAUGUAGAUAGGUCCCUGGGCUUAAGUUAAUGUUUCAAUCAGUAAGAACUAAGUUAUUAUUUCAAUACAAAUUGACUAUAUAUGGAUUAAAUUUAAAUAAAAAGAUGUUUGGGUCCAUUGUUUUACUGGAAGUAGUUACUAGAGGAUAUUUAUCUCAAGUGUUUAAAAAUCUAUUAUUAACAGCUCUAGGAGCCCCUCUGGUCCAAGUAAAACCUGUGUUUAUAUUUUCUAUUAUCUGAAGUUGUUCCUUAGAUUGUCAUUAAUUACCACAGCUAUCUAGCUAGCAUCUAAAUUUAUUGUACAUCUGUUGUUAACUGCUAUAAAUUUUAAAUAUGCAUGGAACUACUUUUAUUGCUAAAACAUGUAUUUAUUUUUAAAAUAUUAGUUUUACUUUGUAUAUAGUUCAUACCAUACUCAUAAACUUUAAAUUAUUUAGAUUAGACUGAAUAUUAGCUUAUGUAUUUUAAUGUAAUUUGUUAUGGUAAUUUGUUUCUUUUUUGUGAGGAAGGGUUGUUUGGAAUUACAGUAAAUUAUUGAGUAUCCAAA